UACUAAGCAUUUUGUUCACAUCACUAAUACAAAGUUUAAUUUGUUUUGAUGUGAUUUUUGUACUGUUAUUUAAAUAAUUAAGCCAUGGAGUUGUGAGCAUGUCAUACUGGGCUAGUAAAUUAUGACAACAUGAUCAAUACCUUUGAUGAAUUACCAACAACGGAAACUAAUUAUCCCAAUGGAGUGGCUAUUAAGUGGUUGGAAUCCCUUUCCCAUAGACUUAUUUUUAGAAUGCACCAAAUGCGUUUGGGAUAGAGCGUGUGGAAGGAGUCAGCAAAGGAUUUCCUGAAGGACUUCAUCAGGGAAGAAGAACCAUAUCAGAGGGAUCGAAUCGCGCCAAUAAAAACCUGUCAGGACUAAGACUCCCUUUAGGAAAAAUAUGUUCAAGCAAUUUGGAGCAUGGAGGAAUACUAGUUCCAAUGAAGAAGACAUUUUCAGGGAAGAAUAUUACCAUAUCUCAGACGACGACUUUUAAGUGGAUGGUGAUAACUUACAGGGACAAGAACAGAACGUACAACAAUAGUCCGCUUUUAUAUCCUUAUAGUCCAAAGCAUCUUCAACGUAUGGGAUACUAACACAACAUUUUCAAUACCACUCAGAUGAACGGUAUUCAAUAGCACCAAAAACUUUGAAAAUUGUAAAAUUCUAAAGGUACACUUGCGUAUCCACAUUACAGAAUGAUCGAAAAAUGGAUCCCACUUCUAAAAGACAUCCAAAACUAAUUUAGAUCUUCGACCACACUUGUAAAAAGUGAAUCUAUUGUUGCAGAACCGUUACUAAGGAUUCACGUCUUAAACGGUAUUUGAUAAAGCACUUGGUUUUACUAUUAGUACCAACACCCUUUAUCUACAUUUUAAAUCUUUACUGAAAAGUUAAGAGACAAAGAAAGAAAACUAAUGAGUUUUUUAACGUGUUACCCUAAUAAGUACAUUUAAAAAAUACUUAAGAUAUGUUUACUACCUUUUAUCUACUAAUAUGUUAAUUUAGGAAUUCAUUUAAUAUAUUAAUACCAUAUGUUUUGUGAUAAACUAAGUAUUUCUUUAGUUAAUAUUAAAUGAUGUAUUCUCUUAAAA